GCCACAUGAUGAGUUCAGAAGCGUCAGGAGCUUCAGGCUGUGAUGACCUGCUAUCUAUCACCCUUUUCUGAUGGCU